UGUCCUGGAGUCUCGUGCACAC
rnacentral:miRNA from 1 species